rnacentral:misc_RNA from 1 species
GAUGAAGAACGCAGCGAAAUGCGAUAGGUAAUGUGAAUUGCAGAAUCCAGUGAAUCAUCGAAUCUUUGAACGCACAUUGCGCCCGCCAGCAUUCUGGCGGGCAUGCCUGUUCGAGCGUCAUUUCAACCCUCGACCUCCCCUUGGGGAGGUCGGCGUUGGGGACCGGCAGCACACCGCCGGCCCUGAAAUGGAGUGGCGGCCCGUCCGCGGCGACCUCUGCGCAGUAAUACAGCUCGCACCGGGACCCCGACGCGGCCACGCCGUAAAACACCCAACUUCUGAACGUUGACCUCGAAUCAGGUAGGACUACCCGCUGAACUUAAGCAUAUCAAUAAGCGGAGGA